rnacentral:rRNA from 1 species
UACGUAGGUGGCGAGCGUUGUCCGGAUUUACUGGGCGUAAAGAGCGCGUAGGCGGCUUGUUAAGUUCUGUGUGAAAGGUUCCGGCUCAACCGGGACAGGGCAUGGGAUACUGGCAGGCUUGAGGGCAGCAGAGGUCGGUGGAAUUCCCGGUGGAGUGGUGAAAUGCGUAGAGAUCGGGAGGAACACCAGUGGCGAAGGCGGCCGACUGGGCUGUACCUGACGCUGAGGCGCGAAAGCGUGGGGAGCGAACCGG